AUGCCUCCUCCAUCACAACUGCUGAGUACUGCUGCUGUUCUUUUCCUCAGAUCAAAUUCGGACUGUUGGUCUGUUGCUGCUGCUGCUCCUCUUCAUAUUUUUGCUAUAUUGCUCUGCGCCUCUGCCCAGUGCCUUAGCUGGUUAGCCCUCUACCUCUGCGUUUUUUAUGAACUGUGGUGACUGUUGAUUGUAUUUGUGAGUUGUGGCUUACUGGCUUUUAUUUGUGAACUGUUGUUUUGUCUUUAUUACUUAAUGUGAUAUGGUUAAUAUUAUAUAUAUAUAUAUAUAUAUAUAUAUAUAUGAACUUGUGAACUUUGUCUUUGUCGAUUGUCACUUUGUGUGAUGUGGCUAAUAUUAGUAAUAUAUAUAAACUUGUGCUUAUACGUUUAUGAUUAUUUUGGUUUUAGAAUUUCUUUUUUUGGUUGAGAAGUCUCUUUUUUUUAGUUGGUGCAAAUAUGGAAGUAAUGAAACUUUUUUUUUUUUUUUUUUAAAUUUGUAGAUCAUGAAUAAGUCCACUACAAUAUUAAAUUUUUUCAAAAGAAAAAAUCUAAAUAAUUUUGAAGUCAUAGUUAAUGAUGCAAGAUUGCCAACCUCUAACAUUGAUGUCCCAGUUUCUAAAAAUCUCUAAACAGAAGUUCCAAAUGUCACCAUUGAAAAUCUCCAAAAAAUUUGUUUUAAGCUUUGCCCUGGUUCAAAUCCUGGUUUGUCUAUGAUUUCGACCCCAGUACAACAUAAGUUUUUUUUUUUUUGAUAAAUAAGAUGAAAGGUCAGGAUUAAAUGUAGUUGUUGAGAACUUAAAGGAAUAGUUUCUCAAAUAAGGCUUGAUGACAGAAGAUGACAGAAAACUUUGCCCAAUGCCAGAAGGAACAACAUGAUGCUAUGAUUGACAAGACCCUUGCUAGACCAAAGACAAUUUUGUAGUUGACAAAGCAUAGAGCUACGAUUUUGUGUCUGUGUGCGUUUGGGAAACGCGCUUCCCUGCGUUUUCACCUUUUCUUCACUUUUUUAUUUUUUUUACUGUAAUUGUUGACUUUUUUUAAUGUAUUAUUUAUUAGACUUACAAAUUUUUUUUAAUAAUUUUUUAUUAAAAAUGAGUUUUAUAUUAUUAUUCAAACGUUUAAAAGAGUAGGUAGAAAAAAAAAUUUCAAAGUACAUGUAAUAUCGAAGUCCUUUCAACUUUCUUCACCACACCACACAUGAAGCACGCUGCGUCAAAAAGUCAAGAACGCUGCACAGGCACAGCACAACCAUGGCGGAUCACAACGUCGCCGACGAAGCCAUUUCCAGUUCCGAAGUUUCCAGGCUCCGAUGGCACGUGUUCUUAAGCUUCAGAGGCGAAGACGCGCGCUACCCCUUCAUAGACAAACUCUACACCUCGCUCCACAACAAAGGCAUCCAUGUGCUUAAUUGUAUUUUUGAGUGGAAGAUUUAGUAACUUCGAAUUGUUUAGUGAAAUGUGGCAAUUUGCUUUACAUGAACAGUAGCUUCUUCAGCAUGAUAUGUCUGUGCACCUUGCAAUUCUUUAAUCCAUCUUUAAUUUUUUUUUUUUUUUUGCUUAUUUAAAUUAGCGGACUUUUUAGCUUUACAUUUUUAUUGGAGUAGGAGUAGGUAGGACCAGGACUCAAAAAUUCUAAGCUCAGCCUAUUAUGGCCAGUUGGAUUGAAUGGAGGGAUCAGGUACACAUGGUCUGUUCACAACAGUGUUUUUCGUUUCUCAGAGUCAAACUAUGCGGCCAGAAAACGCGGAUGAGAGGAAAUGUGGACGCGCAACGCCUCUCUCUUUCUCUGUGUUGAAGGUUUGCAGACAUAUUUAUUGGAGUAGGAGUCGGUAGGACCGGGACUCAAAAAUUCUAAGCUCAGCCUAUUAUGGCCAGUUGGGUUGAAUGGAGGGGUCAGGUACACAUGGUCUGUUUACAACAGUAUUUUUUGUUUCUCAGAGUCAAAAUAUGCGGCCAGAAAACGCAGAUGAGAGGAAACGUGGACGCGCAACGCCUCUCUCUUUCUCUGUGUUGGAGGUUUGCAGACAUAUUUAUUGGAGUAGGAGUAGGUAGGACCAGGACUCAAAAAUUCUAAGCUCCGCCUAUUAUGGCCAGUUGGGUUGAAUAGAGGGGUCAGGUACACAUGGAGGGCGUUUGGAUUGCGCUUUGUGCGUCCACGUUUUCUCAAUCCGCGUUUUUCUUUCUUUUUUUUUUUUUUUUUUUUUAUUUUGGCCGCAUUAUUUGACUCUUUGAGAGAAAAAAAUACUGUGCAUAAAUAGUGUGUGUACUGUUUACGACUGUUCAUGUACUGUUUACGUAAUAAAAAAAAUAUUAAAAUAGGUCAGAUUGUACUAUUCACACAUUUAAAAAUUAUUUUGCUAUAGUGUUUUCAGUUUUCAGUUUCAACAACAAUAAGUUCAAUCCAAACGGACCCAUGGUCUUUUUUAUAUUUAUUUAUUUAUUUAUGAGACAGGGUCUCUUUUGUAUCUUUAUUUUCGGCCAAAAUUGGGAUUUAAAUUGGGUCAGUUAAAAGAUCAAGCAUUAGAGAUUCGAUUUUCGGGUGAACACUAUAUGAAAAAAAAACUUGAUUUAUAAAUUUUAAAUUGAGUCUUUUAAACUUGAAAAAUUAGUAAAAAAAUAUAAUUUUAUAACAGUUCUUACGAAUUAUAUUAUUUAGCAAACAUAAUUAAUUCUUAAUUUUGAUCUGGACAACUUAAAAGGAAUAGUUUCUCCAUCAAGGUCAUGUAUAUCAACAAGGGGCUAGCUCUUAAAUGAGAAGGUGAGUGUGAGACUUAUUUCUUCUUACCAUUAUAGAGGUAUUAAAAAUUUUGGGAGGGGCCAUGGCCCCCAAAGGAUAACAUGCCUCCGCCCCUGAUCCACUGGAUAAACCUAAUACGGAUUUGAGGCUGUUUGGAAAUCCACAAAAUUGAGGGAAAAAUGGGAGUCUCCAAAAUUUCAAACUCAGUUUUCAGGGGCAUAUUAGUAAAUAGAGUGACUUUGGGGGACCCAUUGACAUUAUAUUGCCGUUGCUCUUCCCCAAAUAUUCUCUUCAGCUCUUCCUCAAAAUUUUUACAUCACAUUUCCUCUUCUCCAUUUCCAACAGUGUAUGUACAGAAAGUCUGAAGUACUGAAUGAGGAUGAGAUGAACAUUCCAUGAUCAAAGACAAAAUACCAAGGACUGUCAGACUCUUCACCGGCGACGGCGAGCUCUGUCACCGUCGGAAUCUUCACCGUCAGCUGUCCUUAUUUUCGUGAUCUUCUCCCAGGUGCAAACUCUGCUCUCUCUCCCUCUCGAUUUUCCAUGUCCAUUCUCAGAUUUGUUCAUUUUAAUUCCUGUUUUAUGGAUUUUUAAUGGUAUUCUACUUUGGAUGUUAAAAUGGGUGUUUCCCCGUGGAUUUUUUUUAUGGCACUUUAAGUUUUUGCUAGUAAUCACUUGCUCCAUGUUACAACUGAAGGUAAAUAAACUCAAAUCUCGAAACUUAUAGUGAUCAUACAUUGCUAACUGCAGAGCCACUUGAGAUGAAAUUGAUAUGCUCUCUCUCUCUCUCUCUCUCUCUCUCUCUCUCUCUCUGUUUAGAAGCUAUAUUUGUUUGUGAGAUAAUGAUUUAAGCAAGUGACCUUAGAGACAGAGAGAGACAUAUAUAUAUAUAUAUAAGUGGAUAUAAUAUUAAAGGGUCGGUUUGGUUGCUUGUUUCUGUUUAGCUUUUUGUGUUUUGAAAUAUGUGUGGCUUUUUGUCAAGUGGGUUUGCACUGUUUCUCUCAAAGGAUCUAUAACUUGGGGUGUCACUCUGUGUUUUUGCUUUUUGAAAACUUUUACUACUGUUUUUGAGUUAAGGACAAGUUUUGAUGGCUGGGAGUAAUGCAGUUAACCUCAAUCAGUCCAUGGUAAUUAGCUGAAUUCAUGUUUUGAUUAUCACUUUGAUUGUUUUGAUUGCAUCUAUGGGUCCGUUUGGAUAGCACUUAUUGUUGCUGAAAGUUACUAAAAACUGAUUGUUGUUGAAAAUACUAUAGUAAAAUAAUUUUUAAAUGUGUGAAUAGUGUUGUGGGACCUACUUUUAAUAUUAAAUAUUACGUAAACAAUGCAUGAACAGUGCAUGCACAGUAUAUGCACAGUAAAUUUUGUCCCCCAAAGUCAAAAAAGCCAGCCAAAAAAAAAAAAGGGAGAAAACGUAAAACUGAAAACAUGCCGCAACUUAACGUGCUAUUCAAACCCAUACUAUGUUAUUAUAGUCACUGUUUGAAUAUUGGAUUUUGGGACUUUGAUUUUUGGUCUUGGGAAGUUGAAUCUUGUUUUUGCUAGGUUGAGGUUGGCUUUAGAGCUAAUUUGCGUGGGUCUUUGACAUAAGAAAUGAUAUUUGUUCUUGAAAGUUAGAUUACUCAUAACUCAAAUCCUAUAACCAGGGCCGGCUCAACAACUUUGGUUGUGGCUUUAGGUGAAAAUUUAAUUUUAAAUGAAGUAUUUUAAUAUUUAAAUAUUAAUCAAAUAAUAUAUAUAUAUUGAUUUUUUUAUUUAAAUUUAUUUUUCUUGCUUUUUGAGAUGGAAAAUUACUAAUUAAGUGUUUGUAUUUAAGUUUUUCUAACAUUUUUUUUUCAAUUGAUAAUAUAGCUAAUCCACUUCAUUUUUCUUGUGAUAUAGUAUACUUUAAAUAAGAUUUUAUUAAUUUUAAUUUUGAAAAAUUUCUUUAUGCGGAUGCAACUAUGUAUUGUUAGUAAUAUUCUAUAUGUAAUAUAUGCAUUUGGAAAAGAAUCUAAUCUUUUUAAAUAAUUAAGCACAUUAAUUGGAGUAUUUUCUAGUAGAUAUUUAUAAUGAUAAAAUAUUUAUAAAUAAAUAAAACACAAUUUAUAAUUAAAAAUGAUAAUUUAACUAAAAAUAAAAUAUAAAGUAUUGAAUAAUAAAAUCUGUCUAUACCUACACAAAUAAAAAUUAAUUUAAUAUAUAAUUUAAUAAAUUAGUGUCACUAUAAUAUGAAAGAUAUAAUACUUAUCAAAUUAUUAAUUGGUAUAAUAAUUUAUAAUAAUAGAUAAAGUGAAAAAUCAUGUUAAAAAAAGAAAAAAAGAAAAGAAAAGUGAGAAACCGUGUUAAGUAAUAACUGUGGGCUGCACUGCACUUACUGUACAACCUGUGCAGUGCAACCUGUGCAGCGCAGAUGUGACUCAUGUGAGCAGGCCAGGAGAGCCUGUACCAUCAUUCUAUGGCUAAGGGUCUGUUUGAAUUGAAUUUAUUGUUGCUGAAACUGAAAACUGAAAAUUAAAAACUGAAAAUACUGUAACAAAAUUAUUUUUAAAUGUGUAAAUAGUACCAUGAGACUCAUUUUUAAUAUUUUUUAGUGCGUAAAUAGUGCUAAACAGUAUAUAAACAGUAUAUUUUGUCUCCUGUACAGUAAAAUCAUGUGAUUUUACUGUUCACUUGCCGUGGGGGAAAAAAAAAAACAAAAAGGAAAAACGCAAAACGUGGACUCAGCUUUCAGCUCAGUACAAACGCCCUUUAAGUUUUAAAGCAAAAAAUAUCCUAAGUAGAAAAGGGUACUAGCAAAAAAACGUGUCCCAUUAUGGGACUCCCCAUCAACGAAAUAAACUAAAAAAAUAUAUAAUUUAAUUUAAAUAAAUAGAAGAUUCUGAGUCAUUAUUUUCGAAAAGACAGAGAGGGAAAGAGCUGAAGAAGAUUAUCUUUGGUAGAAAAAAAUUCAAGCUAGAUUGACCGACUGAGUAUAUGGAAAAAGAUCAAGAAUUAAGAUGAAGUCGAAGAAAAGAAGUGUAAGGAUAUAGAUGGAGAGGCAGAGAGAUAGAGAGAUGAGAGAUUUUUUCUUUGUUUUUGAAAUUUAUAAUCUCUAUUUUAGCAUAUUUUAAGAUAAUUACGUUGUAUUAUUAAUGAGUUUGUUUGAUAUUAAUUUUGAUUUUAGGAGUUAAUAAAUUUUUUUAAAAAAAUUUAAUUUUGUUAGCUGAAUUUUGACUAUUUUUGUUUUUUUUUUUAAUUUAAUUUUUUGCAUUUUAAGAUACAAUAAGACAUUUUUAAUGCAUUUUAUUGACUAAUAAAAAUACUUAAAUUUUUUUAAAAAAUAUAUAUAGAUAAAUAUAUUAUAUAUAAAUUUUUUUUUACAAGUGAGGGGCCUAUUUUUGGUUUGAGAGACAUAACUUAUAACUCAGUCUACCCAUAACUUAUAACUCAGUUUCCACUUUCUUUCAAAAAUAUCAAAACUCUUGUUUGGCAACAUAAUCCAAUCACAUCACUCAAAAUUUGAGUCUACUUUUUACCAAAAUAGUGAAGCAAACCUACUGACACCACACUGUUUCUGCUCCCCGCGUGGAGAUUUCUCUUGCCUCUAGCAAGACACUUUCUCCCAGUGCAGCACGCCCAGUCCAGAACAUUGUCACUGCUACGGUCAACGUCUCCAAACCACGACUUUUACACAAGGGGUGUGCUAGAACAGCUGGACCUAGCUAGCCUAUGCAAACCAGUACAUAAUUCUCUAUUGAACUGAAGCAAAUUAAGACUAAUGCUAUCAUCAUAUUGCCAAAUUAAAUGUAUAACUCAAUAUGAGCAUUCCCAUCAAAUAUUUCAAAUAUCAAAUAUCAUAUUGCCAAAUUAAAUGUAUAACUCAAUAUGAGUAUUCCCAUCAAGUAUUUCAAAUGUCAAAUAUUUGACAUUUGACAUACUAUACUCUAAAAAACCACAUUCAUCAAAUGUUUUAAAUGUCAUUAAUGAAUAGUGCAAUCUCAAAUUUGAGAUAGUACUGGACACAAAUGGUAAAACUUAUAUUAUUUUUUUGUUCAGGUGGGGCCUGCUUUCUUUUAAAGAAAGAAUAAAAAUUGAAUAAAGUUGUAAAAAAAAAAAUGAUUAAAAAUAUUAGAGAAAGAAUAUUUAAAUAAAAUUGUUAAAAAAAAAAAAAACGAUGUUUCAUGUUUGGUAUAUUAUAAAAUAAGGUGUUAAAAUUGUAAAAGUAGUGUUUUGAAAUUGUAAAUGCUAAAUUUUUACCAUUGUUGGCGAGAAUGGUCUAAGCAGCUUAA
rnacentral:sRNA from 1 species